GGUCCAACGACAAACGAUCUCGUCAACCUCGGCAAACGAUCUCGGCCCGACGUCGGCUCGACGUCGGCUGGACUUCGGGUGGACGUCGGAACAUGCGGGCAUAUCCGACGUCCAGCCGAUGUCGGGCCGAGGUUGAACCGACGUUGGGCCGACGUCGGGCCGAGCCUCGGCCCGACGUCGGGCCGACGUCGUCAUGUUUACUGGGUCCCGACCUCAAACCUGGGUCCUGACCCGAUCUGUGUCCCUGACCUGACCUGUCAUGACCUUACCUGUGUCCCGACCUCAAACCUGGGUCCUGACCCGACCUGUGACCUCACCUGACAUCCCUGGUGGGCUAACAACCCGUCUCAGAAGUCAGACCUGACGGGGUCGAGUACCUACCACCCACAGGCAGCGGCGUGUUGUAUGAAAUGGGUGCAUCACGUCUGGUCGGCCUCAGGUAAUAUUGAUUUUUAUUUAUAAUUUUAGUGUUUAUAUUUUCAUUGUAAUGUGUUUAGCGCUACUCUUGUAGAAAGUUGGGACACCUUGUCAAAUAAACUAUUUUUAAUACUCUUGGGUAAUUAUGGGUGUCACAUUUCUGGCGCUCUAUUGUCGAUUAGUUGCGCAGUGUUGUUUUGAUUAUUGCGCUGUUUGGAGACGAGUGGGGAUGUAUUUUCGAUGAAAAUAAGCUAAAAAGUACUUAACCUGACAGUAAUUGACCUGAGCUUGAGCUGGUAAAUGGUAAUAACGUCUUGGCUACUGAAUCUACAUCGAUUGAUGUAAAAUGCACAAGAGACCGAGGGGUGAAAAGAUGUGAAGUGGUGCCUGAACCUGAAGUCAAAGUCUUACAGAGGCAGACCGGAGCAUUUUCUUUUUUUAUCAAGUAUCUAACCCAAAAAUGAGGUCAAUCAACAAUGCAAUGAGCUUGAAAAAGUUCAUGCUGCGGCAGGAAGUCCUGACUCUCUACAGGUCCAUUCUGAGAUCCAUCAAAUCAGUCCCAGAACAGGACAGGGCCACAAUGAAGGCAUGGGUCCGAGAAGAGUUUGAGCUGCAUCGGUCUGUUCAGGAUGAGGCGCUCAUCAAACAGCAUUUAGCUCGUGGCAAAAAGACAUUCAAAGAGCUCCAGCAAGCAAUGAAUCUUGCAUCAUCCUGACAAGUUUUUAGCAGCCAGCUCAACUGUUGCUCCUGUUCAUCUACUACUUGAAUCUACUUUGGUGGCGCUUAGGUCGGUGGAGACGCAGUAGCCCGUCUGCGGCUCGGAGGCUGCGCGCGCCAGACAGGAGAGCCAGUCGCGCCGCGAGCGGACCGGGCACUCGUUCACGGCCGUCACCAGGUCGCCGGCCGACAGACCGG